rnacentral:rRNA from 1 species
UACGGAGGGUGCAAACGUUGCUCGGAAUCAUUGGGCGUAAAGCGCACGGAGGCGGCGAAGCAAGUUGGGUGUGAAAGCCCUGGGCUCAACCCAGGAAGUGCAUUCAAAACUGCUUCGCUUGAAUCUCGGAGGGGGUCAGAGAAUUCCCGGUGUAGAGGUGAAAUUCGUAGAUAUCGGGAGGAAUACCAGUGGCGAAGGCGCUGACCUGGACGAAGAUUGACGCUGAGGUGCGAAAGCGCGGGGAGCAAACAGG